rnacentral:rRNA from 1 species
UGGAGAGUUUGAUCCUGGCUCAGGACGAACGCUGGCGGCGUGCUUAACACAUGCAAGUCGAACGGAAAGGCCCUUCGGGGUGCUCGAGUGGCGAACGGGUGAGUAACACGUGGGUGAUCUGCCCUGCACUUUGGGAUAAGCCUGGGAAACUGGGUCUAAUACCGAAUACACCUCUUCAGCUGCAUGGUUGUGGGGGGAAAGCUUUUGCGGUGUGGGAUGGGCCCGCGGCCUAUCAGCUUGUUGGUGGGGUGAUGGCCUACCAAGGCGACGACGGGUAGCCGGCCUGAGAGGGUGUCCGGCCACACUGGGACUGAGAUACGGCCCAGACUCCUACGGGAGGCAGCAGUGGGGAAUAUUGCACAAUGGGCGCAAGCCUGAUGCAGCGACGCCGCGUGGGGGAUGACGGCCUUCGGGUUGUAAACCUCUUUCAGCACAGACGAAGCGCAAGUGACGGUAUGUGCAGAAGAAGCACCGGCCAACUACGUGCCAGCAGCCGCGGUA